rnacentral:rRNA from 1 species
GCUACCACGCGAGUGGAUGCCAAUCCCUAAAACCCCUCUCAGUUCGGACUGGAGUCUGCAACCCGACUCCACGAAGCUGGAUUCGCUAGUAAUCGCGCAUCAGCCACGGCGCGGUGAAUACGUUCCCGGGCCUUGUACACACCGCCCGUCAAGCCAUGGGAGCCGGGGGUACCUGAAGUGCGUAACCGCGAGGAUCGCCCUAGGGUAAAACUGGUGACUGGGGCUAAGUCGUAACAAGGUAUC